ACUAUAUUUGAAAAUGAUUGCUGGCUAAUCAGGUUUCAUAUUUCAGGGUCUGAAGACUCCUCCUAGGCAUCCCAAUGACAGGUAUAUGUGUGUCAACAUCUGGAACUACUGCAAGAACCCAAUCAAAAUAGGUGGUGCUUCUAAUUUGUUAAUCAACUGAAGACGGCUUGGACCAAGUUGUGAACGUAUGGUAAGUCGACAACAUUGAGUUAAGGGUCGAGGGUCCUUUUCAUUUGCAACGAGAAGAUGUGCCAGUGCCGAAGAGGGUCCAGCUAUGUCUCGUGCAGUACGUCCCAGACUGUAGUGGUCCAGUUGCUGCUUCCCAUGUUGACCAAGUCGAAAACUCUUAUGGGCCGCAUUCUUCAGUUUGCUCCUAUGUCGUCGGUUCAGCCCUGGUUCCUGGACCUCUUGCCAUUUCUCCCAAACUCCCUCCUCCCCUUCCCAAGGACCCACCUCUCCCAACUCCCUCCCCUUCUUGAGGAUCCACUACUCCCAACCUCUUUCCCUACCCGAGAAUCCACCUCUCCCAACCCCCUCCCCUUCCUUAAGAUCCACCUGUCCCAGAGGAUUGGCAGCAUGACCUCAUGAUGGGUCCCCCAACCAAUAAGUUCUCUGCUAUUGCCUCAAACCAAACUUUUUUACUCCAAUAUGUGAAUUUAUCUCAAAUUGGAGAGGGAAAUCAGUACAUAAUAUUUAAUAUACCGAGUAAUGCUUACAAGAUUUAUAUAAUUUUGUAGAAUAAAAUUAUUUUUAAGAGUUGUUGUGAUAUAAGGAGUGACUAAAAUAGUGUGAGGGCACUGAAGUCCUUUUAACUAGAUGUAUGUGCACCAUUACAUUAUGCUUGGCAAAUAGGAGAAAAUAUACUAUUCAUUAGGUCUUAACCAACAGUUGUUAUAAUAUUAUCUCUUACUGUUACUACAGUAUUAUUAAUGAGCUGUACUAUAUAUAUGGCAUACCUCUAAGAGCUGCUUCAUGCAGUGGUGUU